UAGGGAAUCUUCGGCAAUGGGGGCAACCCUGACCGAGCAACGCCGCGUGAGUGAAGAAGGUUUUCGGAUCGUAAAGCUCUGUUGUAAGAGAAGAACGAGUGUGAGAGUGGAAAGUUCACACUGUGACGGUAUCUUACCAGAAAGGGACGGCUAACUACGUGCCAGCAGCCGCGGUAAUACGUAGGUCCCGAGCGUUAUCCGGAUUUAUUGGGCGUAAAGCGAGCGCAGGCGGUUAGAUAAGUCUGAAGUUAAAGGCUGUGGCUUAACCAUAGUACGCUUUGGAAACUGUUUAACUUGAGUGCAAGAGGGGAGAGUGGAAUUCCAUGUGUAGCGGUGAAAUGCGUAGAUAUAUGGAGGAACACCGGUGGCGAAAGCGGCUCUCUGGCUUGUAACUGACGCUGAGGCUCGAAAGCGUGGGGAGCAAACAGGAUUAGAUACCCUGGUAGUCCACGCCGUAAACGAUGAGUGCUAGGUGUUAGACCCUUUCCGGGGUUUAGUGCCGUAGCUAACGCAUUAAGCACUCCGCCUGGGGAGUACGACCGCAAGGUUG
rnacentral:rRNA from 1 species